rnacentral:rRNA from 1 species
UUGGAACGCUGGCGGCAUGGCUAAAACAUGCAAGUCGAACGCGAAAGGGAGCAAUCCCAAGUAGAGUGGCGAAAGGGUGAGUAAUACGUUCCUACGUGCCUCGAGGUCAGGGAUAGCCAGGGGAAACUCUGGGUAAUACCUGAUGUGGUCGCAAGAUCAAAGGCUUGCCGCCUCGAGAGCGGGGAACGUCCUAUCAGCUAGUUGGUGAGGUAACGGCUCACCAAGGCANAGACGGGUAGCAGGUGUGAGAGCACGGCCUGCCACAUCGGAACUGAGACACUGUCCGGACUCCUACGGGAGGCUGCAGUAACGAAUCUUCCGCAAUGCGCGAAAGCGUGACGGAGCAAUGCCGCGUGCAGGAUGAAGCCCUUCGGGGUGUAAACUGCUGGUCGGGGUUUAGGAACACAAUGACCAAACCCGAAGGAAGAGACGACUAACUCUGUGCCAGCAGCCG